ACACAGCUUACACUGUUGAAAAGGACCUCAGAGUUUAUCCACCCCAAUUCCUUACCCCAGUUUAGCCCUUUCUAUGUAUCUAACACUUUAAUGGCAGGUACCUCAUCAGACGCUGGGAUAACUCCUUUAGUGGCUGGCUGUCUCCUCUUUACCAAAGUCUCCCAGUCAGAUUCUGCCCUGGGGUCCCACUCAACGGAUCUCUUCCCUGUUCCCUUGAUGUUCCUGGCCACCCAGGCUGCAGGUGAGCAGCCUGGAAAGGAACCACCCCCCCCCACCCUCAGGAGAAAGGCUUUGACUGGUCCUGGGCAAGGCAGUGUGCUGGGUGCCAGACAUACAAGGAUGAAUCAGACCCAAACUCUGGCCUGAAGGAGCUCACAGACAAGUGAAUAUAAUAUUAAAAUGACCCUGAGUUAGAAAAACAUGGAAACCUGUCUUAACACAUCACUUACAGAGGGGGUGAACGUGAGCAUGAAAACUUUUCAUUCUGCAAAACCAGUUUCCACAAGAGGCACAUCAGGCUCCUGCUGGACCACCUUGUGCUCUUUUGUCUGCUGUGACUUGGGAAGUGACUUGGGGGCCAGGACGAAUCAAGCUAUUUUGUCAGGAAGAGCCUGAACCCUUUCAUCUUGAAUUUCAACUCCUGAUUGCUCACGAUCUUGCAAAGCAUUUAGCCCCAGCCUCACCCUUCCCAAAAUGAAUUAAAAUAGACAAGGUCCC